CAGGUGGUCAGGUAGAGAAUACCAAGGCGCUUGAGAGAACUCGGGUGAAGGAACUAGGCAAAAUGGUGCCGUAACUUCGGGAGAAGGCACGCUGGUGUGUAGGUGAAGUCCCUGCGGAUGGAGCUGAGACCAGUCGAAGAUACCAGCUGGCUGCAACUGUUUAUUAAAAACACAGCACUGUGCAAACACGAAAGUGGACGUAUACGGUGUGACGCCUGCCCGGUGCCGGAAGGUUAAUUGAUGGGGUUAUCCGUAAGGAGAAGCUCUUGAUCGAAGCCCCGGUAAACGGCGGCCGUAACUAUAACGGUCCUAAGGUAGCGAAAUUCCUUGUCGGGUAAGUUCCGACCUGCACGAAUGGCGUAAUGAUGGCCAGGCUGUCUCCACCCGAGACUCAGUGAAAUUGAACUCGCUGUGAAGAUGCAGUGUACCCGCGGCAAGACGGAAAGACCCCGUGAACCUUUACUAUAGCUUGACACUGAACAUUGAGCCUUGAUGUGUAGGAUAGGUGGGAGGCUUUGAAGCGUGGACGCCAGUCUGCGUGGAGCCAACCUUGAAAUACCACCCUUUAAUGUUUGAUGUUCUAACGUUGGCCCCUGACCGGGGUUGCGGACAGUGUCUGGUGGGUAGUUUGACUGGGGCGGUCUCCUCCCAAAGCGUAACGGAGGAGCACGAAGGUUAGCUAAUCCUGGUCGGACAUCAGGAGGUUAGUGCAAUGGCAUAAGCUAGCUUGACUGCGAGCGUGACGGCGCGAGCAGGUGCGAAAGCAGGUCAUAGUGAUCCGGUGGUUCUGAAUGGAAGGGCCAUCGCUCAACGGAUAAAAGGUACUCCGGGGAUAACAGGCUGAUACCGCCCAAGAGUUCAUAUCGACGGCGGUGUUUGGCACCUCGAUGUCGGCUCAUCACAUCCUGGGGCUGAAGUAGGUCCCAAGGGUAUGGCUGUUCGCCAUUUAAAGUGGUACGCGAGCUGGGUUUAGAACGUCGUGAGACAGUUCGGUCCCUAUCUGCCGUGGGCGCUGGAGAAUUGAGGGGGGCUGCUCCUAGUACGAGAGGACCGGAGUGGACGCAUCACUGGUGUUCGGGUUGUCAUGCCAAUGGCACUGCCCGGUAGCUAAAUGCGGAAGAGAUAAGUGCUGAAAGCAUCUAAGCACGAAACUUGCCCCGAGAUGAGUUCUCCCUGAGACUUUAAGUCUCCUGAAGGAACGUUGAAGACGACGACGUUGAUAGGCCGGGUGUGUAAGCGCAGCGAUGCGUUGAGCUAACCGGUACUAAUGAACCGU
rnacentral:rRNA from 1 species